ACACAUGCAAGUCGAGGGGCAGCAUCAUCAUAGCUUGCUUUGAUGGAUGGCGACCGGCGCACGGGUGAGUAACACGUAUCCAACCUGCCGACAACACUGGGAUAGCCUUUCGAAAGAAAGAUUAAUACCGGAUGGCAUAAUUUUCCCGCAUGGGAUAAUUAUUAAAGAAUUUCGGUUGUCGAUGGGGAUGCGUUCCAUUAGGCAGUUGGCGGGGUAACGGCCCACCAAACCAACGAUGGAUAGGGGUUCUGAGAGGAAGGUCCCCCACAUUGGAACUGAGACACGGUCCAAACUCCUACGGGAGGCAGCAGUGAGGAAUAUUGGUCAAUGGACGAGAGUCUGAACCAGCCAAGUAGCGUGAAGGAUGACUGCCCUAUGGGUUGUAAACUUCUUUUAUACGGGAAUAAAGUUAGCCACGUGUGGCUUUUUGUAUGUACCGUAUGAAUAAGGAUCGGCUAACUCCGUGCCAGCAGCCGCGGUAAUACGGAGGAUCCGAGCGUUAUCCGGAUUUAUUGGGUUUAAAGGGAGCGUAGGCGGGUUGUUAAGUCAGUUGUGAAAGUUUGCGGCUCAACCGUAAAAUUGCAGUUGAUACUGGCGACCUUGAGUGCAACAGAGGUAGGCGGAAUUCGUGGUGUAGCGGUGAAAUGCUUAGAUAUCACGAAGAACUCCGAUUGCGAAGGCAGCUUACUGGAUUGUAACUGACGCUGAUGCUCGAAAGUGUGGGUAUCAAACAGGAUUAGAUACCCUGGUAGUCCACACAGUAAACGAUGAAUACUCGCUGUUGGCGAUAUACGGUCAGCGGCCAAGCGAAAGCAUUAAGUAUUCCACCUGGGGAGUACGCCGGCAGCGGUGAAACUCAAAGGAAUUGACGGGGGCCCGCACAAGCGGAGGAACAUGUGGUUUAAUUCGAUGAUACGCGAGGAACCUUACCCGGGCUUAAAUUGCAACUGACGGAACCGGAAACGGUUCUUUCUUCGGACAGUUGUGAAGGUGCUGCAUGGUUGUCGUCAGCUCGUGCCGUGUGGUGUCGGCUUAAGUGCCAUAACGAGCGCAACCCUUACGGGUAGUUACCAUCAGGUUAUGCUGGGGACUCUACCCGGACUGCCGUCGUAAGAUGUGAGGAAGGUGGGGAUGACGUCAAAUCAGCACGGCCCUUACGUCCGGGGCUACACACGUGUUACAAUGGGGGGUACAGAAGGUAGCUACACGGCGACGUGGUGCUAAUCCCAAAAGCCUCUCUCAGUUCGGAUUGGAGUCUGCAACCCGACUCCAUGAAGCUGGAUUCGCUAGUAAUCGCGCAUCAGCCACGGCGCGGUGAAUACGUUCCCGGGCCUUGUACACACCGCCCGUCAAGCCAUGAAAGCCGGGGGUACCUGAAGUACGUAACCGCGAGGAGCGUCCUAGGGUAAAACUGGUGAUUGGGGCUAA
rnacentral:rRNA from 1 species